UGCAUCGGGGCCUGGAAUCGAACCCAGGCCGCCCGCGUGGCAGGCGAGCAUUCUACCACUGAACCACCGAUGC